AUGAUCAUCGCGGUCUACCUGCUGGCUCCGGCUUUGUCGGCCUCAAUGGAGUGCGACGGCAUCCCCCAGACAUCCAACAGCACCUUUCCCGCGAACCUGAACCUGCUCGCCGCGCGACUCCCCGGCAACGCCUCCGCCUCCCCAAACGGCUUCGCCACCGCCGUGGUCGGCACGGCGCCCGGCCUGGUAUACGGCAUGGCCCUCUGCCGGGGCGACGCGAACGCCUCCUCCUGCCGCGCGUGCGUGGCGAAGGCGUUCGGCGACGCGCAGGCAAGCUGCCCCGGCGACACGGGCGCCUCCAUGUACGAGGACGGCUGCGUCCUGCGCUUCUCCAUCCAGCGGUUCCUCGACUUCCUCGGCGCGGACCAGUGGCAGGUCCGUGAGAUCACUUUCUCCGUUGUCGCGGCUCCGGGCAGCCUCGCGGUUUCGGCCGCCUGGUUCGGCGCUGCGGUCAGAGCGAUCCUCACCGCCGUGGUCAACCACGCGGUGUCGUCCCCGUCGCUGGCGGCGAACAGCAAUUCCACCAUGAGAAGCAAGUACUUCGCCACCGGCGAGGAGGCCUUCAACCCGAGGAUUUACGGCCUCGCGCAGUGCAUGCCCAAUCUGGUGCAGGCGCAGUGCGACGGCUGCCUCCGGAGACUCCAAGAUGAGGCAACGCCCUACCUUGAUGGCGGCACUAACCCCGGAUGGAUCGAGGUUGGUUCAGCGUGGUGCAUCCUGAGGUACAGCGUGCGGCCGAUCUACGACGGCCAGGCAAUGCUCCAGCUUCCGGCGCCGCCGCGGCCAUCUCCUUCUGUCACUCCCGACCAUGCAGCAGGAAACACAAGGAGUGCAACAGGAAUCUAUGCAGGCAUUGCUUCUUCUGUUGUCUUUUUAUUGAUUCUACUAUCAGUUUUCGCUUUCAUCCGCUUCAAGAGAAAAAUUAAGACCGCUGAAGAUGAUAAUCCAUUCAAGAAAAUGGCGAGAGCCUUGAUCUUCGAUUUGACGGCACUGCAAGAGGCAACCCACAACUUUUCAGAAGCGAAUAAGCUUGGAGAAGGCGGUUAUGGAAUUGUAUACAAGGGAAUACUGCCGGAUGGGCAAGAAAUAGCAGUGAAGAAGCUCUUGGGAGCAACUGAGCAUGGUUUGCAACAGUUGCGCAAUGAGGUGCUUCUAUUGGCAGAGCUUCAGCACAAGAAUCUUGUCAGAUUACAGGGGUUUUGCUCACAUCGGAACGAUACGUUGCUUGUUUACGAAUAUAUCAACAAUGGGAGCCUCGACAACUUUCUUUUCGAUACUAGGGAGGAAAAUACUGUAAACUGGGGGCAACAGUACAACAUCAUUCUUGGAAUUGCAAAGGGAAUAUUGUAUCUUCACGAGGACUCGAGCCCAAGGAUAAUCCACAGGGACCUUAAAGCUAAUAAUAUUCUUCUUGACGAGGAGAUGGAUCCUAAAAUCGCAGACUUUGGAUUGGCAAGGCUGCUACAAGAAGGUCACACUCAUACUCAAACCACUAGAGCUGCCGGAACACUCGGUUAUAUGGCACCGGAGUAUGCUGUACACGGAAGUGUGUCACCCAAGAUUGAUAUUUUCAGUUUUGGUGUACUAGUCCUUGAAAUUAUAACCAGGAGAAGGAACUGCGGUUCAGAUUAUGGGGAUACCGUGAACCUCAUUAGUGAUGUGUGGAAUUACUGGACAAAAGGAACAAUAUCAGAAAUGAUGGAUGGAUCACUCAAUGGAUACCCUCGAAGCCAAGCGCUACGGUGCAUCCACAUCGGGCUACUGUGUGUCCAACCGGACCCUGAUGACAGGCCUCAAAUAUCAACCGUCAUUUUCAUGUUAACAAGGGACACCAUGGAGCUUCAGCCACCGGCACAGCCUGCAUUCUUCUUUGGGACAGAAUUGCCGUCUCCAGCUUCUCCACGAUAUGGGCAACGCCGGGAUGUGCAUGCCCGGUUUGAUUUAGUACCGGAAGAUGACGUAUCUUGGAAUGGGGUUACGAUUACUGAGCCAUAUCCUAGGUGA
rnacentral:rRNA from 1 species